rnacentral:tRNA from 1 species
GCACCCGUAGCGCAAUGGAGAGCGCGUCGGACUUCGGAUCCGAAGGUUGCCGGUUCGAGUCCGGUCGGGUGUA